rnacentral:misc_RNA from 1 species
CGCACAUUGCGCCCUUUGGUAUUCCGAAGGGCAUGCCUGUUCGAGCGUCAUUAUCACCUCUCAAGCCUGGCUUGCUGUUGGACUCUAGGUAUUGUUUAGGCAUAACCAGUCCCAAAGAUAAUGACGGUGUCUGUGAAGACCCUAGUACACUGAGCUAUCCUUUAGCACGUAUUAGAGGGAGUCCAGACCCGGUCUUACUUAUAAUUUUCUAAGGUUGACCUCGGAUCAGGUAGGAAUACCCGCUGAACUUAA